rfam:Myotis davidii contig184199, whole genome shotgun sequence.
GCCGGCAUAGCUCAGAGGUUGAGCAUCGACCUGUGAAGUAGGAGGUUACGGUUAGAUUCUCUGUGGGGGCA